rnacentral:rRNA from 1 species
UAAUACGAAGGGGGCGAGCGUUGUUCGGAAUUACUGGGCGUAAAGCGUAUGUAGGCGGCUUUGUAAGUUAGAAGUGAAAGCCCAGGGCUCAACCUUGGAACUGCUUUUAAAACUGCAGAGCUCGAAUGUGGGAGAGGAUAGCGGAAUUUCCAGUGUAGAGGUGAAAUUCGUAGAUAUUGGAAAGAACACCAGUGGCGAAGGCGGCUAUCUGGACCACAAUUGACGCUGAGAUACGAAAGCGUGGGGAUCAAACAGG